AUGACAAGAGACAUUGCCAAUUGGGUUGCACGAUGUCUUACUUGCCAGAAACAGGGAAAGGAAUUAAAUAUGGAUAUCACCUUGAAAAGCAUAAAGGUCACUCGGAUCUGGGAAUUGGUGGGAAUGGAUUUAAUAGGACCAUUACCAGUAACAAAGGAUGGAUACCAGUAUAUACUGACAGCCAUAGAUUAUCUGUCAAGAUGGGUGGAAGCCUUUCCACUUAGAAGUAAGUCAGCAUAUGAGGUGGUAGAGAACGUGUACAAAUUGAUUGUUCGACGUGGAUGCCCAGAGCGGAUACUGACAGAUCAGGGUUCGGAAUUCAAUAAUAAGGUAAUGACUGGUUUUUUUUCUGGUUAUUUGUACUGUGUAGUCAAACUCACUAUCAGGUCACUCAUUGAUCUCAAACAAUCACCAACUUUUUUUUUUUUUAUAAACAGCUUUUGGUCACCGUCAGUGUUGCUAUAA
rnacentral:lncRNA from 1 species